rnacentral:rRNA from 1 species
CACGAAGGGGGCUAGCGUUGUUCGGAAUGACUGGGCGUAAAGGGCGCGUAGGCGGCUCUAUUUGUCAGGCGUGAAAGGCCCGGGCUUAACCUGGGACGUGCGUUUGAGACGGUAGGGCUUGAGGGUGAGAGAGGAUGGCGGAAUUCCCAGUGGAGAGGUAAAAUUCGUAGAGAUUGGGAAGAACACCAGCGGCGAAGGCGGCCAUCUGGAUCACAACUGACGCUGAGGCGCGAAAGCGUGGGGAGCAAACAGG